GUGCGGGGCGCUCCGGAAGUGACGUCACGAAAGGCGAUAGGGCCCAACCAUGGCGCUAGAGGCCGCAGCACGGCCACCGGAGGAAACCCUGUUGCUCUGGGAACGGUAAUGGGGUCGGGGUCCGCACGGGGGUGGCUUCUCCAAUGACUUUCCGGCCUCACAGCCCCUGUGCAGCUGUAAAACCGAACACCCGGCUGCAACGCAGCGCCACGCUGCCGGAAGUUGCCGCCUGCCUUUGUGGGCGCGGCCUGCGUUUCCGGUCCGCACGGAACAAGCCCGGCUGAAGACGCGCGUGGUGGCCCGGGACACGGAGGCCUGGCAGCGGGACCCCACUUUCUCGGGACUGCAGAGGGUCGGGGGCCUGGACGUGUCCUUCGUAAACGGGGAGAGCUCCCGGGCCUGCGCUUCCCUGGUGGUGCUGAGCUACCCAGAGCUCGAGGUAACCGCUCUGGUAGGCUGCGCACCCAAGGGGACUGGAUCCCGAGACAGCGAUCAGAGCCUGGGUGCAGUUGUGAAAAAGUUUUCUUCUCUUCUCCACCCCCGCGCUCUGUGGUUUCUAGAUUUUUUUUUUCUUUUUUGAUGCUAAAAAGCCUACCCAGGACCUUGAACAUGUCACGAGAUUUGAUACACUUUCACUUCAUUUGUAGAAUUUAAUGUGUAGGUUGGAAUGGAUUUCUAAAAAGCAGAAGCUCAGGAAAUAGGGUAACUGAAGAGUCAAUGUACAAACGGUUGGUGAGAUGGUCAGUGGCUAAGAGCGAAUAUUGUUCCAUUUUAAAUUUGUGUUUAUUAUAUAUUCAGUGUUUAGUCUGCA